rnacentral:miRNA from 3 species
CCUUUUUGUGGUUUGGGGCUUUU